UGGGACAGCUCAGUUAGUAGAGCAUGGGACUUGUAAUCUCAGGGUUGUGGGUUCAAGCCGCAUAUUGGGCAAAA